rnacentral:rRNA from 1 species
GUGGGGAAUAUUGGACAAUGGGCGAAAGCCUGAUCCAGCCAUGCCGCGUGUGUGAAGAAGGUCUUCGGAUUGUAAAGCACUUUAAGUUGGGAGGAAGGGCAGUAAGUUAAUACCUUGCUGUUUUGACGUUACCGACAGAAUAAGCACCGGCUAACUUCGUGCCAGCAGCCGCGGUAAUACGAAGGGUGCAAGCGUUAAUCGGAAUUACUGGGCGUAAAGCGCGCGUAGGUGGUUUUGUAAGUUGGAGGUGAAAUCCCCGGACUCAACCUGGGAACUGCCUCCAAAACUGCAUGACUAGAGUACGGUAGAGGGUAGUGGAAUUUCCUGUGUAGCGGUGAAAUGCGUAGAUAUAGGAAGGAACACCAGUGGCGAAGGCGACUACCUGGACUGAUACUGACACUGAGGUGCGAAAGCGUGGGGAGCAAACAGGAUUAGAAACCCGAGUAGUCC